UACGGAGGGAGCUAGCGUUGUUCGGAAUUACUGGGCGUAAAGCGCACGUAGGCGGCUUUGUAAGUCAGAGGUGAAAGCCUGGAGCUCAACUCCAGAACCGCCUUUGAGACUGCAUCGCUUGAAUCCAGGAGAGGUGAGUGGAAUUCCGAGUGUAGAGGUGAAAUUCGUAGAUAUUCGGAAGAACACCAGUGGCGAAGGCGGCUCACUGGACUGGUAUUGACGCUGAGGUGCGAAAGCGUGGGGAGCAAACAGG
rnacentral:rRNA from 1 species